rnacentral:lncRNA from 1 species
CCUCCCUUGAUUUUUUGGGCAUUGAAAUCGGAUUGUAAUCACCACUUGACAUCCCAUAUAGUGCUCCUUAAAUAGGCCAAAAGAGAAUUUCAAGUUGAGUAGGAGAUAGAGUCCAAGACACCCAGGACUCUACCUAACUUGGAUGCCACCCACCUUAAGGAGUUCACGCCCAUAUUACAUGCUAAAAAGGGGUUAUAGGCUUCUUUCUUACAUGGUAAAAAAAAGAGAAAAAAGUGGGCAUUAAUUACUGGUUGGUGUGGGUUUAAUUGGGCACACAAAAUCUGGUUAAUGUGGGACUGCUUGUUGCACAUGGAUAAAAGAAAAUUAUAAAUCACAAGGGACUCAUUUAGUUGGCUGUUUAAAUCUAAUUAAAAUAUCAAUUAAUCCUAAUCAUAUUAAGACCAGAUUAGACUCAAAAAGAUGAGAAUCUAAAUCUGAUUUGGAGCCCAAUUAAUUUAGAUUAGAUGUCUCCUAAUUGGAGGAGGAAUCCUAGUCCUAUUGGAUUCUUUCUUGGUGCUGAAUUUUAAUUCUAAUCCAAUGAAGAUUUGGUGCAGUAUGAAAAUAAAGAUUCCUAGUCUAAUUAGGAAUACAUACAUCCUAGUUUAAUUAAAAAUUAAAUCAAACCCAAAUCCUAAUUCAACUGG